UACGAAGGGGGCUAGCGUUGUUCGGAAUCACUGGGCGUAAAGCGCGCGUAGGCGGGCCGUUAAGUCGGGGGUGAAAGCCUGGAGCUCAACUCCAGAACUGCCUUCGAUACUGGCGGCCUUGAGUCCGGGAGAGGUGAGUGGAACUCCUAGUGUAGAGGUGAAAUUCGUAGAUAUUAGGAAGAACACCAGUGGCGAAGGCGGCUCACUGGCCCGGUACUGACGCUGAGGUGCGAAAGCGUGGGGAGCAAACAGG
rnacentral:rRNA from 1 species